rnacentral:rRNA from 1 species
UACGUAGGGGGCAAGCGUUGUCCGGAUUUAUUGGGCGUAAAGAGCGUGUAGGCGGCCAGAUAGGUCCGUUGUGAAAACUCGAGGCUCAACCUCGAGACGCCGAUGGAAACCAUUUGGCUAGAGUCCGGAAGAGGAGAGUGGAAUUCCUGGUGUAGCGGUGAAAUGCGCAGAUAUCAGGAAGAACACCCGUGGCUAAGGCGGCUCUCUAGUACGGUACUGACGCUGAGGCGCGAAAGCUAGGGGAGCAAACGGG